AAGCUGCGAGGAGACUCCCAAGGCUGUUUUUCACGGUCCCCAGUGGGACUGAAGCCAAUUUUAAUGGCGAAGCAAUAGGAAAUUUGCUAGAGAAACCUAUUUCUAGUUUCAGGUGUUUGCAAGGAGUCCUCCUUCGUCCUCUUCCAUCUUUUUCUUCAACACCUGGUGUUGAGAGAGACAUCAUCUUGCUGGACAUGGGCCAUCAGAUCAAGGUGCUUCUUCUCGCCCAUCAAUUCUCCCUUCUUCUACCAAGGAAAGAGGCUCCUGGAAUCCUUGGUUUGGCUGCCACUUCAUUCAUUAGCUCUCCUUGACGAGACACGGAGGGAAUUUUAUAAUCUAGCGAACGAAAUCCUGAAGAUGUUUCAAAGGAAAAGAAAGAAGCAACAUGGAAAACCAAUUUGUGCAGAGUUUCUAUAGCUGAACUUUGAUGGUUUCCACAACAGGGGAUCCGCAGGAGCCUGAUUGCCCCCACCUCUAUAAGGGAUUCUGAAUUCAGCUGGAUCUGCCAGGAUCAUUUCCUUCUGGGGACCCAGUCAGAAAUGUUUCUUCUUAUAGCAUUACACAAGAAGGGCACAACUUGAAGAACUUGACCCAACGUUCAUUUUUCCUCCUCCCUCCUGUUCCCCCUUUCCUUGUAAGUUGCUUCUUUUCCCAUCCCUACUUGGAGGAUUUAAGCUCUUUUGUCUUUAUUGAUCUUAAGACAUCACGCUGGGAAUCGUUUUGAUUGAAGAAAAGGGUCCAAGGGAUUUAAAUAAAGGAUCGCAGUGUUUCAGGCUCUCCCUCGUCGUGCGUGUCUUCCCCGUGACUUGUCUCUGUCCUUUGUCUUCCCUUCCGAAGCUUCAUCAACAUUUGCAAGCAGCCCAGCGAUCCAGGGGCAGAAUCACAACAAAGCGGAGGCUUAGCCAUGCUAUUAAAAAAUAAAUAACCGCAUAUAAAUAAACACAGGAACUGCU